AUUGAACGCUGGCGGCAUGCCUUACACAUGCAAGUCGAACGGUAACGCGGGGCAACCUGGCGACGAGUGGCGAACGGGUGAGUAAUACAUCGGAACGUGCCCAGUAGUGGGGGGAUAGCCCGGCGAAAGCCGGAUUAAUACCGCAUACGACCUAAGGGUGAAAGCAGGGGACCGCAAGGCUUUGCGCUAUUGGAGCGGCCGAUGUCAGAUUAGCUAGUUGGUGAGGUAAAGGCUCACCAAAGGCGACGAUCUGUAGCGGGUCUGAGAGGAUGAUCCGCCACACUGGAACUGAGACACGGUCCAGACUCCUACGGGAGGCAGCAGGCUAGAAAUUUGGGCAAUGGGGGAAACCCUGACCCAGUGACGCCGCGUGCAGGAAGGAGCCCUUCGGGGUGUAAACUGCUGUCGUGUAGGGAGAAGGGUACUAAGGUGAACAAUCUUAGUACUUGACGGUACUACAGAGGAAGCCCAGGCUAACCUCGUCCAGCAGCCGCGGUAAGGAGUAGUACACG
rnacentral:rRNA from 1 species